CUCAGGACCCGGCCUCCUCUCCCCUAACCCACCUUCCCUUGUAGGAAAAUGUCCUUAAGGACCCUCAGGACCCGGCCUCCUCUCCCCUAACCCAUCUUCCCUUGUAGGAAAAUGUCCUUAAGGACCCUCAGGACCCGGGCCUCCUCUCCCCUAACCCGUCUUCCCUUGUAGGAAAAUGCCCUUAAGGACCCUCAGGACCCGGGCCUCCUCUCCCCUAACCCACCUUCCCUUGUAGGAAAAUGCCCUUAAGGACCCUCAGGACCCGGCCUCCUCUCCCCUAACCCACCUUCCCUUGUAGGAAAAUGUCCUUAAGGACCCUCAGGACCCCGGUCUCCUCUCCCCUAACCCAUCUUCCCUUGUAGGAAAAUGCCCUUAAGGACCCUCAGGACCCGGGCCUCCUCUCCCCUAACCCACCUUCCCUUGUAGGAAAAUGUCCUUAAGGACCCUCAGGACCCGGCCUCCUCUCCCCUAACCCACCUUCCCUUGUAGGAAAAUGCCCUUAAGGACCCUCAGGACCCCGGUCUCCUCUCCCCUAACCCGUCUUCCCUUGUAGGAAAAUGUCCUUAAGGACCCUCAGGACCCGGGCCUCCUCUCCCCUAACCCAUCUUCCCUUGCAGGAAAAUGCCCUUAAGGACCCUCAGGACCCGGGCCUCCUCUCCCCUAACCCACCUUCCCUUGUAGGAAAAUGCCCUUAAGGACCCUCAGGACCCGGGCCUCCUCUCCCACCCCCUUCCCUUGUAGGAAAAGUCCUUAACCUGACGCCCCACCAGGGUGACCCCGCCAGAACCAGGUGAGCCGCUGCCCACACAGGGACCCGCGGCCAACAGGCCAACGUCCUGGGGAAGCGCUUCUUACCCUGCUGCCUGGGACGGGAGAACGCAGGAGAGGCUGGAGAACGCCGGGGAGAGGCCUGGAGAACACCCGGGAAAGGCUGCAGAACGCCGGGGAGAGGCCUGGAGAACACCCGGGAAAGGCUGCAGAACGCCCGGGAGAGGCCUGGAGAACGCCCGGGAGGCUGAAGAACACCCGGGAGGCUGUAGAACGCCGGAGAGGCCUGGAGAACACCCGAGAGGCUGGAGAACGCCCUGGAGGCCUGGAGAAGGCCCGGGAGAGGCCUGGAGAACGCCCGGGAGGCCUGACAGAACCGUGCCUCAGGCCGUGGCGCUCGGCCCCCUGCAGACUCCGGCUGAACCUGCCCCUCCCCGUUGUUUUUCUCUGACCAACCUCUGCGCAUGCGCGGUUCUGUCCCCGGGGCUGGGCUGUUCCUCGCCAGCAAUGAGCAGAGAGUGGGGAGUGCUCGCCCUUUCCACCCCACAGGCUUCGGCAGCUUUUGGUCCCGGAGAUAAUAUCCGAAGGAUAGAGAAGGAGAGGAACGCGGAGAGAGAGCUUGGAGUGCUACGUGCAGUAAGGAAGUGGUGACCAAGAACAUCCAUAGUUCCUGCCCUCAUGGAGACUAAAGGCUGGUGAAGGAGAAAUAAAUCAAAUUAUCCAGGAAAAGAACUACA
rnacentral:lncRNA from 13 species